rnacentral:misc_RNA from 1 species
UCCGGUUUGUCACCGGCAGUUUCAUUAAAGUGCCCAACUGAAUGACGGCAACUAAUGGCAAGGGUUGCGCUCGUUGCGGGACUUAACCCAACAUCUCACGACACGAGCUGACGACAGCCAUGCACCACCUGUGCACCGGCCCCGAAGGGCUGCCGUAUUUCUACGACAUUCCGGUGCAUGUCAAGCCCUGGUAAGGUUCUUCGCGUUGCGUCGAAUUAAGCCACAUGCUCCGCCGCUUGUGCGGGUCCCCGUCAAUUCCAUUGAGUUUUAGCCUUGCGGCCGUACUCCCCAGGCGGGGCGCUUAAUGCGUUAGCUACGGCACGGAUCCCGUGGAAGGAAACCCACACCUAGCGCCCACCGUUUACGGCGUGGACUAC